UAAUUUACUUACGCUGGCUUCUGACCACAAGCAGACCAAAGGCCCCGGGGAGCAGAAGAAGGGGAAGGUGGCGACUGCGUCAAAGGAGGAGCAGAACAGGCAGCAGAUCCUUGAAGAGAUGAAGAAGAGGACUCAGCUGCUGACCGACAACAGCUGGAUCCGCCAGCGCAGGGCCAGCUCCCUCAAAGAGCCCCUCUACACUGGUGGAACCCUCAGGAGUGAUUGUGCUGUGCCGAGCAUCUCGGAGGAGAGGGAUCAGAAGUUCAGAGCAGAGACCACAAGUCUUUCUGCGAGUGUUGCUACAUCCAGCUGAAACCUUUAUUUUGUAGUUGCCGGUAGAAGGGGGGAGUGCUUCCUGUCAACCCAGGAUCCUUUGUUCCCUGUGGCUGAGUGAUGCUGGCAGCCUUUACCUCUCUGUUCACCAGAGCCAGCUGGGACCAGCUGGCUCCCGGUCUGCUGCUGGGGUCCCGGGGAGUCAACUGCAGUACAAACACACACACUCAUUCUCUUUCUGUCCUAAUGUCC
ensembl:lncRNA